GAACGCUGGCGGCGUGCCUAAUACAUGCAAGUCGAGCGGAGCACUUCGGUGCUUAGCGGCGGACGGGUGAGUAACACGUAGGCAACCUGCCUAUAAGACUGGGAUAACUAUCGGAAACGAUAGCUAAGACCGGAUAACUGGUUUUCUCGCAUGAGAGAAUCAUGAAACACGGAGCAAUCUGUGGCUUAUAGAUGGGCCUGCGGCGCAUUAGCUAGUUGGUNNGGUAACGGCCUACCAAGGCGACGAUGCGUAGCCGACCUGAGAGGGUGAACGGCCACACUGGGACUGAGACACGGCCCAGACUCCUACGGGAGGCAGCAGUAGGGAAUCUUCCGCAAUGGACGCAAGUCUGACGGAGCAACGCCGCGUGAGUGAUGAAGGUUUUCGGAUCGUAAAGCUCUGUUGCCCUAGACGAACAGCAAGGUGAGUAACUGCNCUUUGUGUGACGGUAUAGGAGAAGAAAGCCCCGGCUAACUACGUGCCAGCAGCCGCGGUAAUACGUAGGGGGCAAGCGUUGUCCGGAAUUAUUGGGCGUAAAGCGCGCGCAGGCGGUUAAUUAAGUUGGGUGUUUAAGCCCGGGGCUCAACCCCGGUUCGCAUCCAAAACUGGUUGACUUGAGUGUAGGAAAGGAAAGUGGAAUUCCACGUGUAGCGGUGAAAUGCGUAGAGAUGUGGAGGAACACCAGUGGCGAAGGCGACUUUCUGGCCUAUAACUGACGCUGAGG
rnacentral:rRNA from 1 species